UGCAGUCGACGAACUCUGGUAUUGAUUGGUGCUUGCAUCAUGAUUUACAUUUGAGUGAGUGGCGAACUGGUGAGUAACACGUGGGAAACCUGCCCAGAAGCGGGGGAUAACACCUGGAAACAGAUGCUAAUACCGCAUAACAACUUGGACCGCAUGGUCCGAGUUUGAAAGAUGGCUUCGGCUAUCACUUUUGGAUGGUCCCGCGGCGUAUUAGCUAGAUGGUGGGGUAACGGCUCACCAUGGCAAUGAUACGUAGCCGACCUGAGAGGGUAAUCGGCCACAUUGGGACUGAGACACGGCCCAAACUCCUACGGGAGGCAGCAGUAGGGAAUCUUCCACAAUGGACGAAAGUCUGAUGGAGCAACGCCGCGUGAGUGAAGAAGGGUUUCGGCUCGUAAAACUCUGUUGUUAAAGAAGAACAUAUCUGAGAGUAACUGUUCAGGUAUUGACGGUAUUUAACCAGAAAGCCACGGCUAACUACGUGCCAGCAGCCGCGGUAAUACGUAGGUGGCAAGCGUUGUCCGGAUUUAUUGGGCGUAAAGCGAGCGCAGGCGGUUUUUUAAGUCUGAUGUGAAAGCCUUCGGCUCAACCGAAGAAGUGCAUCGGAAACUGGGAAACUUGAGUGCAGAAGAGGACAGUGGAACUCCAUGUGUAGCGGUGAAAUGCGUAGAUAUAUGGAAGAACACCAGUGGCGAAGGCGGCUGUCUGGUCUGUAACUGACGCUGAGGCUCGAAAGUAUGGGUAGCAAACAGGAUUAGAUACCCUGGUAGUCCAUACCGUACA
rnacentral:rRNA from 2 species